UAACCCAAAAAGCGGAGGAAAAGAAACCAACAGGGCAUUGCCUUAGUAACGGCGAGUGAAGCGGCAAAAGCUCAAAUUUGAAAUCUAGCACCUUCGGUGUUCGAGUUGUAAUUUGAAGAAGGUAACCUUGGGAUUGGCUCUUGUCUAUGUUUCUUGGAACAGAACGUCACAGAGGGUGAGAAUCCCGUGCGAUGAGAUGACCAAUUCUAUGUAAGGUGCUUUCGAAGAGUCGAGUUGUUUGGGAAUGCAGCUCUAAGUGGGUGGUAAAUUCCAUCUAAAGCUAAAUAUUGGCGAGAGACCGAUAGCGAACAAGUACAGUGAUGGAAAGAUGAAAAGAACUUUGAAAAGAGAGUGAAAAAGUACGUGAAAUUGUUGAAAGGGAAGGGUAUGAGAUCAGACUUGGUGUUUUGCAACCUUAUCUUCGGAUGGGGCCCCUGCAGUUCAUCGGGCCAGCAUCAGUUUGGAUGGUAGGAUAAUGACAUUGGAAUGUGGCUUGGCUUCGGUUAAGUGUUAUAGCCUUUGUUGAUACUGCCUGUCUAGACUGAGGACUGCGUCUUUGACUAGGAUGCUGGCAUAAUGAUCCUAUACCGCCCGUCUUGAAACACGGACC
rnacentral:rRNA from 1 species